rnacentral:rRNA from 1 species
AUUGAACGCUGGCGGCAUGCCUUACACAUGCAAGUCGAACGGCAGCACGGGUGCUUGCCCCUGGUGGCGAGUGGCGAACGGGUGAGUAAUACAUCGGAACAUGUCCUGUAGUGGGGGAUAGCCCGGCGAAAGCCGGAUUAAUACCGCAUACGAUCUACGUAUGAAAGCGGGGGACCUUCGGGCCUCGCGCUAUAGGGUUGGCCGAUGGCUGAUUAGCUAGUUGGUGGGGUAAAGGCCUACCAAGGCGACGAUCAGUAGCUGGUCUGAGAGGACGACCAGCCACACUGGGACUGAGACACGGCCCAGACUCCUACGGGAGGCAGCAGUGGGGAAUUUUGGACAAUGGGCGAAAGCCUGAUCCAGCAAUGCCGCGUGUGUGAAGAAGGCCUUCGGGUUGUAAAGCACUUUUGUCCGGAAAGAAAUCCUUGGCACUAAUACGGUCGGGGGAUGACGGUACCGGAAGAAUAAGCACCGGCUAACUACGUG